rnacentral:snRNA from 1 species
UAAAGCACCAUGCAGNUCAAGAAGGUGGUUCACCCAGGGUGAGGCUCAGCCAUUGCACUCCGGUUGUGCUGACCCCUGCGAAUUCCCCAAAUGUGGGAAUCUCGACUGCAUAAUUUCUGGUAGUGGGGGACUGCGUUCGCGCUCUCCCCUG